AGAGUUUGAUCCUGGCUCAGAAGACGCUGGCGGAGCCUAACACAUGCAAGUCGAGCGCUGUAGCAAUACAGAGCGGCGCACGGGUGAGUAACACGUGGGAACGUGCCCUUUGGUUCGGAAUAACUCAGGGAAACUUGAGCUAAUACCGGAUGAGCCCUAACGGGGAAAGAUUUAUCGCCGAAGGAGCGGCCCGCGUUGGAUUAGCUAGUUGGUGGGGUAAAAGCCUACCAAGGCGACGAUCCAUAGCUGGUUUGAGAGAACGACCAGCCACACUGGGACUGAGACACGGCCCAGACUCCUACGGGAGGCAGCAGUGGGGAAUCUUGGACAAUGGGGGAAACCCUGAUCCAGCCAUGCCGCGUGAGUGAUGAAGGCCCUAGGGUUGUAAAACUCUUUCGGCGGGGACGAUAAUGACGGUACCCGCAGAAGAAGCUCCGGCUAACUUCGUGCCAGCAGCCGCGGUAAUACGAAGGGGGCUAGCGUUGUUCGGAAUUACUGGGCGUAAAGCGCGCGCAGGCGGUUCUUCAAGUCAGAGGUGAAAGCCCAGGGCUCAACCCUGGAAUGGCCUUUGAGACUAGAGGACUUGGGUACGGGAGAGGUGAGUGGAAUUCCGAGUGUAGAGGUGAAAUUCGUAGAUAUUCGGAAGAACACCAGUGGCGAAGGCGGCUCACUGGCCCGUUACCGACGCUCAGGCGCGACAGCGUGGGGAGCAAACAGGAUUAGAUACCCUAGUAGUCC
rnacentral:rRNA from 1 species